rnacentral:rRNA from 1 species
GACUCUCGGCAACGGAUAUCUCGGCUUUCGCAUCGAUGAAGAACGUAACAAAAUGCGAUACUUGGUGUGAAUUGCUUAAUCUCGUGAACCAUCGAGUCUUUGAACGCAAGUUGCGCCCCAAGCCAUUAGACCGAGGGCACGUCUGCCUGGGUGUCA